rnacentral:rRNA from 1 species
GGGGCUAUACAUGCAGUCGAGCGGACAGAAGGGAGCUUGCUCCCGGAUGUUAGCGGCGGACGGGUGAGUAACACGUGGGUAACCUGCCUGUAAGACUGGGAUAACUCCGGGAAACCGGAGCUAAUACCGGAUAGUUCCUUGAACCGCAUGGUUCAAGGAUGAAAGACGGUUUCGGCUGUCACUUGCAGAUGGACCCGCGGCGCAUUAGCUAGUUGGUGGGGUAAUGGCUCACCAAGGCGACGAUGCGUAGCCGACCUGAGAGGGUGAUCGGCCACACUGGGACUGAGACACGGCCCAGACUCCUACGGGAGGCAGCAGUAGGGAAUCUUCCGCAAUGGACGAAAGUCUGACGGAGCAACGCCGCGUGAGUGAUGAAGGUUUUCGGAUCGUAAAGCUCUGUUGUUAGGGAAGAACAAGUGCGAGAGUAACUGCUCGCACCUUGACGGUACCUAACCAGAAAGCCACGGCUAACUACGUGCCAGCAGCCGCGGUAAUACGUAGGUGGCAAGCGUUGUCCGGAAUUAUUGGGCGUAAAGGGCUCGCAGGCGGUUUCUUAAGUCUGAUGUGAAAGCCCCCGGCUCAACCGGGGAGGGUCAUUGGAAACUGGGAAACUUGAGUGCAGAAGAGGAGAGUGGAAUUCCACGUGUAGCGGUGAAAUGCGUAGAGAUGUGGAGGAACACCAGUGGCGAAGGCGACUCUCUGGUCUGUAACUGACGCUGAGGAGCGAAAGCGUGGGGAGCGAACAGGAUUAGAUACCCUGGUAGUCCACGCCGUACACGAUGAGUGCUAAGUGUUAGGGGGUUUCCGCCCCUUAGUGCUGCAGCUAACGCAUUAAGCACUCCGCCUGGGGAGUACGGUCGCAAGACUGAAACUCAAAGGAAUUGACGGGGGCCCGCACAAGCGGUGGAGCAUGUGGUUUAAUUCGAAGCAACGCGAAAAACCUUACCAGGUCUUGACAUCCUCUGACAACCCUAGAGAUAGGGCUUUCCCUUCGGGGACAGAAUGACAGGUGGUGCAUGGUUGUCGUCACCUCGUGUCCUGAGAUUUUUGGUUAAUUCCCGCAACAAGCGCAACCCUUGAUCUUAUUCCACCAUUUAUUUGGCACUCUAAGGUGACUGCCGGUUACAACCCGAAGAAAGGUGGGAUGACUUCAAUCAUCAGCCCCUUAUAACCUGGGCUACCCCGUGCUAU